GACGAACGCUGGCGGCGUGCCUAAUACAUGCAAGUCGAACGCUUCUUUCCUCCCGAGUGCUUGCACUCAAUUGGAAAGAGGAGUGGCGGACGGGUGAGUAACACGUGGGUAACCUACCCAUCAGAGGGGGAUAACACUUGGAAAUAGGUGCUAAUACCGCAUAACAGUUUAUGCCGUAUGGCAUAAGAGUGAAAGGCGCUUUCGGGUGUCGCUGAUGGACGGACCCGCGGUGCAUUAGCUAGUUGGUGAGGUAACGGCUCACCAAGGCCACGAUGCAUAGCCGACCUGAGAGGGUGAUCGGCCACACUGGGACUGAGACACGGCCCAGACUCCUACGGGAGGCAGCAGUAGGGAAUCUUCGGCAAUGGACGAAAGUCUGACCGAGCAACGCCGCGUGAGUGAAGAAGGUUUUCGGAUCGUAAAACUCUGUUGUUAGAGAAGAACAAGGACGUUAGUAACUGAACGUCCCCUGACGGUAUCUAACCAGAAAGCCACGGCUAACUACGUG
rnacentral:rRNA from 1 species